GCCUACCCCUCACCCCAGACACCUAUUUCCCUUCUAUGCCUGCAGCUCAAACUCCAUUCCAGGGUAAAUACCAGCUCAGCUGUAAAGCAGCCUGCAGGGUCAGAGAGGAACCACAGGGAGGCGCUGCUCCCUUCAGUUAGUCGUUUGACACAACUUCAUCACACAUUCGUCGUGUGUUUCUGAGCACGUAUGUCUUUCUUUAGAGCCUGUGAUAUGACCUUGCAGGGCCGUUUGGCUUGCUUCACACGGGAGUCAAGAUUUCCUAGGCGAUUCCACCAAAGGAUCAAGAAACUGGAGGAACAACCCUCUCAGCUUUGGGUGUAUUCCCAAAUGAAACCUUCCACUGCUUCUCCACAGGCCAUGCCGUCUGCUUCCUACUUAGGACUUUCAAUCUUGCUGAUAUUGAGAGGGAUCAAUGGAGACUCAGUGACCCAGACAGAAGGUUCUGUUACCCUCUUUGAGGGGACACCUUUGACCCUGAAUUGCACUUACCAGAGCAGCUACACAGUUUUUGUUUUCUGGUAUGCCCAGUACCAAAACAAAGCUCCUCAAUUGCUCCUGAAAAGCUUAUCAGAAAACCAGAGGGCAGAGCAUCACGGUUUUCACGCCAGUCUUGUUAAGAGUGACAGCUCCUUCCACCUGCAGAAACGCUCUGUGAGAAUGUCAGACUCCGCUGUGUACUACUGCGUCCUAGGAGGCACAGUGAGAUCGCCUGCAGGGGGAGCCGAGCACAAACCCAGAGGGGGGCAGGAGGGCCCUGGAUGUGAGCAGCCUGGGAGGGGAGAAUGAUGAUUUCUCUCUAGUUAGAGUCUUGUGCUGGGCGCGGCCCCCAGGGAACAGAUACCUGAUGCCUCUGCCCUCAGGCACCCCGAAUUUUACUUCGAGCUAGGAAUGGAAGGAGGCAAUGUAGGUGAAAACUUAGAUUAUCAUUAUGCCUAUACAUAGAAUCCUAUAGUCAAUGGCCUUUUGUGUCUGGUUUCUUUCACACAGCAUCACCUUUUCAAGGUGUAUCCAUGUAUCAGUACUUUAGUACUUCUGUGGCUGCGCAAUAAUCCAUUGUAUGGAUACCCUAUAUUUUCUUUGUCCAUUCAUCAGUUGAUGGGCAUUUUGGUUGUUUCCACUUUUUGUGAAAACACUCAUGUACAGGAGCUCUGCUCUUUCAAACUUGAAUAUAUUUUAAGUUAGAGAUUUCUGGGUAUUUUUUCGUUUUGUUUUUUGCUUUAUUUGGGACUAACGUUUCUUUGUGGAUAUGCAAUUGAAUAAAUAUGAGAAAAUGCUCCUUACAAAUAAUGACUUAUACUAAAGUAAGAUAUUAUUCUAAGCUAUAUAUAUAUAUAUUCAUUCAAGAAAAUUUGGCACCUAUUCAUAUGUGCCAGUCAUUUUAAUAAGUAUUGGGAAUAUAUUUUAGGUAACAGAGUCUCCUCCUUUAGGAUUUUAUAAAAAUUUUGUGUGCAUUAAAAUACCACACAAGUCUUAAAAUCAUGCUUUUUUUUUUUUUAACAAAUCAUUUUAUUCAUUUACUGAACUGUGUUUGUUCCUAAAUAUUUGUGGUGCUUACAGCUUUGCUUUUUGGGUUUUUGUUGGUGGUGGUGGUGUUACUGUUGUUUUUUAGGGCAAGAGUGACUGGGGGAGAGAGACACAAAGAGAGAGAGAAAGAGAGAGAGAGAGAGAGAGGAAUCUUAAGCAGGCUCCACACUUAGUGCAGAGCCUGACAUGGGGCUCAAUCUCAUGACCCUGGGAUCAUGACCUGAGCCAAAAUCAAGAGUCGGUCACUCAGCCAACUGAGCUGCCCAAGCGCCCCUAUGGUGCUUAGAGUUUUAUGGGCACUGGGCUAAGCACUUUAAAUUCCCCCCCUCCUAGAUACUACCAAAUUCUCAUUUGACAGAUGACGAAAUUGAGGUUUAGUGAUGUUGUGACUUAUUCAAGGUUACAUAACCAGCUGGGAGCAGAAGUUGGCCAGACCCAAAUCUGACGUGUGACCAAUAUUUUAACAACUAUUUGGUUGACCGUUCUAGAAAUCUGUCUUCUUUUUUUCCCAGAAUUCAACUGUAAUCUUAGAUUUCAUAAUUGUUGAUGUUUUCAUUUGAAGAAGAACCCAAUGCAAUAUUAAAAGCUGCAGUUUACUCAUUUGGCAACCACAGAAGUGUGUAUAUCUAUAUCUAUAUC